GACGACGCUGGCGGCGUGCUUAACACAUGCAAGUCGAACGGUGACGAGGAGCUUGCUCCUCUGAUCAGUGGCGAACGGGUGAGUAACACGUGAGCAACCUGCCCCAGACUCUGGGAUAACAGUUGGAAACAGCUGCUAAUACCGGAUACGAGACGGAGAGGCAUCUCUACCGUCUGGAAAGUUUUCGGUCUGGGAUGGACUCGCGGCCUAUCAGCUAGUUGGUGAGGUAAUGGCUCACCAAGGCGACGACGGGUAGCCGGCCUGAGAGGGCGACCGGCCACACUGGGACUGAGACACGGCCCAGACUCCUACGGGAGGCAGCAGUGGGGAAUAUUGCACAAUGGGCGAAAGCCUGAUGCAGCGACGCCGCGUGAGGGAUGACGGCCUUCGGGUUGUAAACCUCUUUCAGCAGGGAAGAAGCGAAAGUGACGGUACCUGCAGAAGAAGCACCGGCUAACUACGUG
rnacentral:rRNA from 1 species